UACGUAGGGUGCGAGCGUUGUUCGGAAUUACUGGGCGUAAAGGGCGCGUAGGCGGCCUUCUAAGUCGAACGUGAAAUCCCCGGGCUCAACCCGGGAACUGCGUCCGAGACUGAAAGGCUCGAAUCCGGGAGAGGGAUGUGGAAUUCCAGGUGUAGCGGUGAAAUGCGUAGAUAUCUGGAGGAACAUCGGUGGCGAAGGCGGCAUCCUGGACCGGUAUUGACGCUGAGGCGCGAAAGCCAGGGGAGCAAACGGG
rnacentral:rRNA from 1 species